ensembl:lncRNA
GUUUCGCUGCAUUCAUAUGCUAAUUAGGGCAAUUCGCACCUCCGCCAGCUCUCCGCCUACGUCAUGGUUCGUUUCCGACAAUUUGUGGCACAGACAAACGCGACGUGCGCGGGUUGCAAAUUGUCGGAAACGGUCGGAAAUUAGGGAGAUUUCCGGGCGUUUACGUGGACGAAAAUCUCACUUUUCAUGCAGUGUUUCGGAUGUAUACUAUUAGUCUGAAGUGAAAUCAUCAUGUAACUAUUGAUAGUUUCCUUUUAAUCCUAACCUGAAUUUGAACAAAAGUAGUCUCUUGAUAGAGAAUUUAAAGGAAAUCGGCUCAUGUAUGGUAUUUUGAGAGGCUUUCAUUUUGGAAUAGUAGAUCAGAAUGUCCUGAUUAACCCUUCGUGACACCUUGCGGAUGUUUUCUAUCUGCCUGAAGUCAAAUGAUCGUUUUACAAUUGAUAGUUUCCUUUUCAAAAUAAUCUGAAAUUGACCAGAUUCCCGUGAUCGAGAAUUUGAAAUAAAUCGGCUCAUGUUUGGUAUUUUGAGAGGCUUUAGUUUUGGAAUAGUAGAUCGGAAUGUCUUGCUCAUCCCUGUGUGACACCUUGGGGAUGUGUACUAUCAACCUGAACAGAAAUUAUCAAGUAACUAUUGAUAGUUUCCUUUUAAUUGUAAUCUUAUAUUGACCUGAAGUAGUCUCGUGAAAUUAGACUUUGAAGGAAGUUGGCUCAUGUAUGGUAUUUUUAGAGGCUUUAAUUUUGGAAUGGUACAUCAGAAUGUCCUGGUUAUCGCUGAGUGACACCUUGGGUAUGUGUACUAUUAGUCUGAAGUGAAAUGAUCAUGUAACUACUGAUAGUUUCCUUUUAAUUCUAACCUGAAAUUGACCAGAAGUUGGCUGGGGAGUGGCCUAAGACCUUAAUAAUGUUAAAGAGGACCCAUCCAACGCCGCUCGCAGCCCUAAUUUCAUUUAGAUUUUUUGAUCAGAAAGAAUUUUAUUUGCAUUGAUAUAACAAUAUGGUUGUACAUUUAAAAAAUAAUUGAUUGCAAUUUUUAUAUUCCAUUAAUUGGAAAGCCACUGAGGGACGAGUCACAAAAUGUUAUUUUAAUACAAAUUCAACAUUUACAAUAUUGUUGGGGCGGUGCGGCGUGAACAUUUACUGUAUCUUCAAAAGUGGGUUGUGACAGAAGUUUGAAAACCACUGAAUUAUUGCCGCUGCUGUUAAUAUUACAUAAUGAAAAUGAACACAUGCUAAUAUUAAGAACCUUUUCAGGCCAAUAUAAGCCAGAGUGUUUGUCCGAGAAAGACUCAGACGACUCAAACACCCAAAACAAAUGAGCACACACUCAAUUGUUAUGUGACUGAGGUUUCACAGCACUCACAAACAAAGUCUGUCAAUGCAGGAAUCAACAAAAAUGUCAUAGCUUCUUCAAAUCUUUAAAGUUGAAAAAACAUUAUUUGCAUGACAUGCUUUUAUUGAAAAAAAUUGUUAAUCCCGAAAACCUUAAUUCCAACGAAUUGGUUUAAGUAAUGAAAGAUUGCAACAAUAUAUUUAACAUGUGUUAAAUGUUUGGUUACUCCGGAUACAACAAUUGUCACAUAGUUUGAGCAUAAUCUAUUCAAUUUUAAUUUUUUUCUUCACAUUUU